rnacentral:rRNA from 1 species
CCUACGGGAGGCAGCAGUGGGGAAUAUUGGACAAUGGGCGAAAGCCUGAUCCAGCAAUGCCGCGUGAGUGAUGAAGGCCUUAGGGUUGUAAAGCUCUUUUACCCGGGAUGAUAAUGACAGUACCGGGAGAAUAAGCUCCGGCUAACUCCGUGCCAGCAGCCGCGGUAAUACGGAGGGAGCUAGCGUUAUUCGGAAUUACUGGGCGUAAAGCGCACGUAGGCGGCUUUGUAAGUAAGAGGUGAAAGCCUGGUGCUCAACACCAGAACUGCCUUUUAGACUGCAUCGCUUGAAUCCAGGAGAGGUGAGUGGAAUUCCGAGUGUAGAGGUGAAAUUCGUAGAUAUUCGGAAGAACACCAGUGGCGAAGGCGGCUCACUGGACUGGUAUUGACGCUGAGGUGCGAAAGCGUGGGGAAGCAAACAGGAUUAGAUACCCUGGUAGUCCACGCCGUAAACGAUANAUAACUAGCUGUCGGGCGUCUUAGUAGCUUCGGUGGCGGCAGCUAACGACAUUAAAGUUAAUUCCGCCGUCGGGGAGGGUACGGGCCGGCCGAAACGGUUAAAAACGUUUAAAACGUUAAGUAAAGUUAGUUACGGACGUGUUAGAGUAGCCGACGGACGACGACGAGGGAGGAGGAG